rnacentral:lncRNA from 7 species
AACGCGUGAUAUUCGAUUAAAAGGGGAUUUCCAAAAGAAAAGAAAUCGUGAUAUUCGCUUAAAUGGGGGAUUUGCAAAGAAAAAAAUUCACGAUUUUCGCUUAAAUGGUGGUUUUGCGAAGAAAAAAUGCAUGAUUUUCGCUUAAAAAGGGGGAUUUCCAAAGAGAAAAUUUAUCAUUUUCACCGAAGUGGGGGAUUUCCGAAGAGAAAACGCAUGAUAUUCGCUUGAAUUGGUGAUUUCUGAGGAGAAAAUUCAUGAUUUUCGCCUAAAUGUGGUAUUUCCGAAGAGAAAACGCGUGAGAUUCACUUAAAUGGGUGAUUUCCGAAGAGAAAAAGCAUGAUUUUCGCUUAAAUGGUGGAUUUCCAAAGAGAAAACCCGUGAUAUUUGCUUAAAUAGGGGAUUCUCAGAGAUAAAACGGUGGAUAUUCGAUUAAAUGGGGGUUUUCCGAAAAGAAAACACGUGAUUUUCACUUAAAUGGGGGAUUUCCAAAGAGAAAAUACCUGUUUUUCGCCUAAAUGGGGUAUUCUCAAAGAAUAAACGCGUGAUUUUCACUUAAAUGGGGUAUUCUCGAAGAAAAAACGCGUGAUAUUUGCUUAAAUGGGGGAUUUGCGAAGAAAAAAUGCAUGAUUUUGGCAUAAAUGGGGGAUUUCCGAAGAGAAAAUGCGUGAUAUUCGCUUAAAUGGCAGAUUUCUGAAGAGAAAACGCGUGAUUUUUCACUUAAAUGGGGGAUUCUUGAAAAGAAAACGCAGGAUUAUCGCUUAAAUGGGGGAUUUUCAAAGAUAAAAUGCAUGAUUUUCGCUUAAAUGCGGGAUUUGCAAAGAGAAAACGCGUAAUUGUUGCUUAAAUGGGGGAUUUCUGAUGAGAAACCGUGUGAUUUUCGCUUAAAUGGGGGAUUUCUGAAGAGAAAAUGCGUGAUUUUCACUUAAAUGGGGUAUUCUCGAAGAAAAAAUGCGUGAUAUUCGCUUAAAUGGGUGAUUACCGAG